CGGCUACUUGAAGUGCAUAACGUCAUUUCCGCUCGUGUCUUGACAGGGAGGAGGCGGGGUGCUGAAAUGACAUUCGGCCCCACCAACCAAAGCAUAUUUCCAGAAGACCCGUUGAUUAGGAGCAAUAAAGCGCUCUUGACAUCCAUCCAGGAAGACGGAGACGCUUAUUAGCCAGAUAGCUGGCUGAACACCUUACGGCAAAAUGGCGGCGGGUAAUGUCAACCCGUUUAACGUGAGUGAUUCAGAGGAGGAAGCGGAGCAGAGGCGGGAUGGCGUGGACACCGAGCGCAGCCCGAGUGAUGGAGCGCAAGGCCAUAGCCUCGGUCCCUUCUCUCCGCCGGCUUACUCCGAGCCAGCCCCUCUGCUGUCCAGCAACAGGACAAGCCCGAAUGUGGACGGUAUCCCCGCGUCGGCCGCCGCGGUGGCUGGGAUCGGAGGAGGAGGCGCAGAGACUCGGGUGUCGCUGGAUGCGAUCGCCGCGCAGCUGCUCCGGGAUCAGUACAUCCUCACGGCCCUGGAGCUGCACACCGAGCUGCUGGAAGCCGGACGCGAGCUGCCUCGCCUGCGGGAUUAUUUCUCCAAUCCAGGCAACUUCGAGCGACAGAGCGGAACUCCACCCGCUUCCAAAGAGCAAGGUGUCGGUCCUGGAGGUCCACUGAAUCGAGCUGGCAGCAUUAGUACAUUGGACUCUUUGGAUUUCGCACGGUAUUCAGAUGAUGGCAACAGGGAGUCAGACGAAAGAGUGGCAGUUCUGGAGUUUGAACUGCGGAAAGCCAAGGAGACCAUUCAGGCUCUUCGUGCCAACUUGACUCGGGCUGCAGAAUGUGAGAUUCCUUCUCAAGAGAGAAAAAACUACAAAUCCAGUCCUGAAAUUCAGGAGCCUAUCCGCCCUCUUGAAAAGAGAGCCUUAAAUUUUUUAGUCAAUGAGUAUUUAUUGAAAAAUGAAUAUAAGUUAACGUCCAUCACAUUCUCAGAUGAAAAUGAUGAUCAGGAUUUUGAGCUGUGGGACGAUGUGGGUCUAAACAUUCCCAAACCUCCAGACCUGCUGCAGCUCUACAGGAACUGCGGGAACAGCCUGUCAUUGCAUCGGGAGACCGUGGAUGUGGCGGUCAAUGUGGACCCAAAUGACUUGCCAGGAGACUAUUUCACCCAGGAACCUGUGCUGCAAACUGAGGCUGUACAGCAGCAGGAAGUGGUUCAGGAGCUGGAAUAUCAGAUCAGCAUUCUGAACAGUGAGAAACAGAGUCUGGCUGAACAGAUUAAAAAACUCCAAAGUGAUAUACAGGCACUUCAGAGGAAGGUUUCAUCAGAACCCACAUCUACAGUGAAGUUGAUUCAGUCUAAAGAAGACACUCCAUGUGGAAACCCCCCCCUAGACAAUGGACAGUAUUUGGACAUACGAGGGGUCACAGAAAUGGACAGCUCCUCAGAUGCCAACACUACAGAGACCUCAACCACUACUACUACUGCUACUACUGACUGCACUGAAAGCACCACUACUGCUACACAACCUUACAGCAAACUAAACAGUACUCAGAGUCCGCAGGGUAAAACCUCUGUGCAGUUUGACCAGCCCAACAGAAAGCUGUCUCCGGCCUUCCACCAAGCGCUUUUGUCCUUCUGUCGAAUGUCUGCUGACAGUCGUCUGGGCUCAGAGGUGUCUCGAAUCGCUGACAGCGAGCAGAGUGUCAUGCUCAUGCUGGGCCGCUGUCUGCCACACAUCGUACCCAACGUCCUGCUGGCCAAGCGAGAGAGAAUGGUUGUGCACCUCUGUCAGGAGUUGAUUCCUCUCAUUCUGUGUACGGCCUGCCUACAUCCCGAGCCCAAAGAAAGAGACCAGCUACUGCACAUCCUCUUUAAUCUUAUCAAGAGACCUGACGAUGAGCAGAGGCAGAUGAUUUUGACCGGGUGUGUGGCAUUCGCCCAGCAUGUGGGUCCCACUCGGGUGGAAGCCGAACUUCUGCCACAGUGCUGGGAACAGAUCAACCACAAGUAUCCAGAGAGAAGACUUCUGGUGGCGGAAGCAUGUGGAGCCCUGGCCCCUUAUUUACCCAAGGAGAUCCGAAGCUCUCUGGUUCUGUCCAUGCUCCAGCAAAUGUUGGCAGAAGAUAAAGCUGACAUGGUUCGAGAGGCAGUGGUGAAAAGUUUAGGCAUUAUAAUGGGCUACAUUGACGACCCAGACAAAUACUCCCAGGGCUUUGAGCUGAUGCUGUUGUCUCUGGGUGACCCGUCAGAGAGGGUGGUCAGUGCCACCCACCAAGUGUUCAUUCCAGCCUUCGCUGCCUGGUGCACAGAACUGGGCAACUUACAGUCCCAGCUCAUCCCCUCCCUCCUCACACGCAUCGAGAAGCUGCUCAAGCAGGGUGAAUAUGGUCUAGAUGAACACAAGCUGCAUAUGUAUCUGUCAGCGCUUCAGUCCCUCAUCCCGUCUCUGUUUGCGGUGCUGCUCCAGAACGCCCCCUUCACCAGCCGAGCCAAACUACAGGGCGACGUGCCUCCAAUCGAGGUGACCCGAUUCCCGCGGCCAGCCUCCCCGUUGCAGGACGUGGCCACCAUUGUGGGCAGCAGAGAGCAAUUGGCAGUUCUGCUGCAGUUACAUGAUCAUCAGCUCCAGCAUGAAGGAACUACAGGAUGGGACAGUUUGCUCUGGGUGGUCAACCAGUUUUUACCCCAGCUUAUAGAUAUUAUAGGACGCUUCAACGUCGCCUCAUCCACCUGUGUGCACGAGUUCUGCAGGUUCUUCUGGAGAUUUUGUCGAACAUUUGGGAAAAUCUUUACCAACACUAAGGUAAAACCUCAAUUCCAAGAAAUCCUGCGGCUAUCUGAGGAGAAUGUGGACGCCUCGGCGGGGAACGGCAUCCUUACAAAAGCUACAGUGCCGAUCUAUGCAACGGGAGUCUUGACGUGCUAUAAUCAGGAUGAGGACCGUAAACUCUUGGUUGGCUUUCUUGAGGAUGUCAUGACCACGCUGUCUCUCUCCCAUGCUCCCCUUGACAGUCUAAAGGCUUCAUUUGUAGAGCUGGGGGCAAACCCAGUGUAUCAUGAGCUUCUACUGACGGUGCUUUGGUAUGGAGUGGUCCAUACAUCUGCACUGGUACGCUGCACCGCUGCACGCAUGUUCGAGCUCAGUGAGGAUAUCAACAAUACCUGCCUUCGGAACAAUUAUGGAAACCGUAACACAAAAAGAGCUGCUAGAGAGAGUGAAAAUGCAGCUGGCCUCUUUUCUGGAAGACCCCCAGUAUCAAGACCAACAUUCUUUGCACAUGGAAAUCAUCAAAACAUUUGGAAGAGUAGGACCCAAUGCAGAGCCCCGUUUCAGAGAUGAAUUUGUUCUUCCUCAUUUGCACAAACUGGCUCUGUGCAACAACCAGCAGACGGUGGAGAGUAAAAGAAUUGACAUUGCCACUCAACUGUUUGAGGCAUACAGCGCCUUAUCCUGCUGUUUUAUUUCUGAAGAACUUAUGGUAAAUCAUUUCCUUCCUGGACUGAGAUGUUUGAGGACCGAUAUGGAGCAGCUCUCUCCGGAGCAUGAGGUUAUUCUCAGUUCCAUGAUAAAGGAGUGUGAAAUAAAAGUGGAGAACAAAGGCAUCGGAGAGGCACAAGGGUCCAUCUCUAUUGCAGCGAGUUUGGUGGGUGAGGAUGCAAAGACCAAGUUUCUAAGUAAGAUGGGCCAGCUGACCACCUCAGGUGCCAUGCUGGCCAAUGUUUUCCAGAGAAAGAAAUGAAAGCUGCUCGUGGGUGUUUGCCACGGCCCUCCACUUUCUGGGAUCUCCUACUUGAAGUCAAUCGUCUGCCUUUCUUUUGUUCGCCUUUCAUUUGACACUGUAUUUUUUAACAUAUUUAUGUUUUUUUUUUUUCCAGCCUCCAAAGAAAUUUGCACUCGUGUCAAUGUUUUCUUUUUUAUUAUUAUUAUUAUUAUAAGAGGCUUAUUUGCAUCUUUUUUAUUUUUUUAUUUUUUUUUGCUUUUUGUUUUGUUUUUGUUUUUUUGGACUAUGUGAACUUUAUGAAAUCGAAACAAUCGUCUUGUUGUCUUUUAUGUGUUACUGUGUUUCUGGAGAAUAUUUUCUAUAAGUGUGUAAAAUUGUCCAAGGGUUUUGUUUCUCUUAAUUCUGAUAUGCUCCAACAAUAAAUAACUGUAAAAUACAGUGAAUCGAGAGAACAGUACCCAUUAUCAUGUAUAUUUGAUUCGUGUCAUAAGAUAAUAAAAAGCGAAGACCACUUGUGUACUUAUGUA